CUACGAGACUAUAUCUUCAUUAUCUGGGCGUGUGGCCAAUAAGGUAAAUUUGGACGCCGUGCCACGUAUUCUUCGAUGGAGGUACGACCAUUCAACUGCAUGGCAUGUGCUGGACAGAGAUAUUUUCCGAUCUGGCACAGGAAGAACUCGAUCAAUAGAAGCAACGGAUGCUGACAUCAUUCCUAAAUAGGACGUUCGAACCACCCGAGCCCGAAGAUGAGGAUGAAGUCCCGUGCGAGAACGAUGCUGUUGAACCAUCAAGUGCACGUGUAGGACCAGAGAAGGAUGACGGGGGACAAGGAGCGAACGUCGACGAAGGUGUCAGAGAAGACAUCCAUGAAGAGCCUAAGGAGAAGGAGGAGAAUGGACGUGGUAAGAAGGUACACAUGUCCAGUAUGUGUAUGAGAAAAGUUGAGAAACGUUUGAAGCGCAUGGACAGGCACAUGGACGACGGGUUCGGAAGUAUUAAGGCUGAAUUAGAAUCCAUCCGGAAAUUCUUGCGGAGAAUCGCUAAGGGUUCACCUGUCGACUGGAAUGACAUGAGAAGAGGCAGCAGCUGUGAUGGUACUGGGCCAGUAGAUGGUUCGAGUGAUGCACCUAGUGGAAGACCUAUUGAUGGACCCACUAGCGGACCUAGUGGUGGACCGUCACUAGCACUGAUGGUGGUGAUGGUUCAACCGUCACUAGCACUGAUGGUGGUCGAGGUGAUGGUUCUAAGGGUGGUGAUGGUUCUACACCAUCUCCUAGGGACGGGGACGACACAGAUGACAUGAUCAUCGAGCCUCUCCAUGUCAACGUGCACGGGACAGAGGAACAUCAGUCCGGCCAAACGACUGGAGAAAAGGCUGAACCAGAACGUGAGCAUCCACCUGCCUUGUCGCGCAAGGAAGACAUGUGUACAGAGGACGUGCACAAGGAGCGUAUGGAGACCGGUCUACAUGCACGUUGUGAGGUUGCCCCUCUCGAGGAGACUCCUGUUCAAAGCAAACCGGUGUACCAUAUUAUGAUCGAUUCGCAUCCGUUAGAGUCAUCUAUGGACGACGAGGACGAAUACACCGAGGAUUUCACGGACUCUGAUGAGGAAGGGUCGGGAGAAGCAAAAUCUCAGAAUGCUAAGGAUACUCGACGUCGCAUCCGGACCUGGGUAAGGUACGUGGGCUGUCGCAGACCGUUGAACGCCAGAAACCUUGACGGGGGUCUCGGAAGAGGAAGCUCCCAUGGAAGCUUUGGGGGUCGUUCAAUGUCAUGGUGGAUGGGAAACGGAAGAAGGUAAUGUCAUAUGACCCACUAGUCCACGUCCCCCCCGAACAAGUCCAGAAGUUUCAUGUUUGGAUGGCGAACCCUAAGACCGAUCGUGCCACUCGCAAAUCAUGUUACGGUGAUCGGGGAAAGCAUGGUUUCGUGACCUUAUCACCCCAGGCAAGUGGAUGAUGAGUGAGGUCAUUGAUUCGUUGGUCAUGUUCACGCCAAACAAACUCGAGCAACGGUAGGACUUGUGUUGCCGAAGAUUCACCACCGGUGACAUCGUCCUUGCGAACUUUCUUCAACGAACAGACGGACUAUAUCAACGCAUGACGGCCCCGAACGCAGUACCUGCGGGAGUUGCAGCGGAAUACGAUUGGGCUGGCAAGUGUAAGACAAUCCUGAGCUACAUGGACGGGACGUACACCGACUAUCAGACACGAUGGCUUGAUCUGGAUGCUGUUUACCUACCAUACAACUUCGGUGGCAACCAUUGGAUUAUGCUACACAUCGAUCUGCAAGAGGGUGAGAUCAUUGUGUGGGAUUCAAUGAGGUCGAUGACAUCUUUUCCAGCUCUAGAGUCAGAGUUGAGGUCGAUGACGCGUUCGUCAGGUACUGGCCGACACUACUGGAUACACCAUGGCGCGUUCGUCAGGUAACGUCCGCGCCCUAAUAGAGCGGAUCCGAUGACUGCGGGAUGUUUUGCGUUAAAUACUUUGAGUAUGAUGUAACAUGGUCAAAUAUGGCCAGCUUAACUCAGGACAAGAUUAGUUUCUUUAGGGAGAAAUUAGCCAUUGAAAGGUGGGCGAACUGAUCUAUAUUUUGAAUCCAAUUCGCUUAUUAGUACUAUGACAUCAUUUUAUUA